rnacentral:tRNA from 1 species
GGGUCGUUAGCUCAGUCACUUAGGUUCAAAUCAACUACUGCAGUUGGCUUUUAACCCAUUGGUCGAAGGUUCGAAUCCUUCACGACCCACCA